GACUUCUUUAUCAGUAUGUUUGAUAACGAUUGAAUCAUUCAAUUAGGCAUUGAUCCAAAUAAUUGUCAUGUUUACAACUGUAACACGUUCUCCCGAUUAAAAUUGGCUAUAAUGGUGGGGACAUAUUGUGACCGUCUACUUUCGAGUCCAAAACAAGAGCCUUCUCCUUCUCAUUACCAUGGUCUAAGAAGUUUUGCAUAGCAUUUUUAUUUUCCUCCUUUUGGAGACAAAACAAGUUAUAACCCUAGCUCACUUGUGCUCCUCAGGCCAAUCCAAGUCUACAUGCUUGUAAAACUUGAAAAAAUAUCAUUUCAUUUUUCUAGAACUUAGCGCACUUAUACAUCUUACCCAAAAAUAAAAUAAAAUAAAAGGUCCAGGGAGCUUAACAGAUCUUUAUUUUUAAUCCUGUUCAAUGAUACAUAUGGGACCAUACGAAGGACGUUAAGAUAUGACCGAUCUUUUUUUUUUGCUACAAUAUGACCGACCCUUCGAGGUGUCUUAGAAACCGCACAAGCUUGCGGACGUCGGAGCAAAAGUGGAGGUAAACGAGAGGCCAAAGUACCAUCCUUUUUUUUCCACGCCAAUCUCGUAAUUAGCUGACGUUUUUUUUUUCCCGUAAAGAAUUAGAUGGAGACUGCUCCAAACACGUAAUUAAACUCUCCCAUGUGCCAUCAUGCAGUUAUGCUUUCAUAUAUAN
rnacentral:lncRNA from 1 species